rnacentral:rRNA from 1 species
GACGAACGCUGGCGGCGUGCUUAACACAUGCAAGUCGAGCGGUAAGGCCCUUUCGGGGGUACACGAGCGGCGAACGGGUGAGUAACACGUGGGUGACCUGCCCUUAGCUCUGGGAUAAGCCUGGGAAACUGGGUCUAAUACCGGAUAUGACUCCAUGACGCAUGUUGUGGGGUGGAAAGCCUUGUGCGGCUAGGGAUGGGCCCGCGGCCUAUCAGCUUGUUGGUGGGGUGAUGGCCACCAAGGCGACGACGGGUAGCCGGCCUGAGAGGGCGACCGGCCACACUGGGACUGAGACACGGCCCAGACUCCUACGGGAGGCAGCAGUUAGGAAUUUUGCGCAAUGGGGGAAACCCUGACGCAGCCACGCCGCGUGCGGGAUGAAGGCCUC